UACGAAGGGGGCUAGCGUUGCUCGGAAUCACUGGGCGUAAAGCGCACGUAGGCGGCUUUUUAAGUCAGGGGUGAAAUCCUGGAGCUCAACUCCAGAACUGCCUUUGAUACUGAGAAGCUUGAGUCCGGGAGAGGUGAGUGGAAUUCCGAGUGUAGAGGUGAAAUUCGUAGAUAUUCGGAAGAACACCAGUGGCGAAGGCGACUUACUGGACACAUAUUGACGCUGAGGUGCGAAAGCGUGGGGAGCAAACAGG
rnacentral:rRNA from 1 species